rnacentral:rRNA from 1 species
AUGAUAAUCAUGUUGAUUUGGAGGAUCUGGAACUUACGUACAGACAUGGUUCAUGGUAAAGAAGCUCCUCCACCUCAAACAUCUGUUGAUUUUCUUCAGAGUUACUUUAAUUCGUUGCGGCUGUCAAGAAUAUAUACUAUAGAGGAAAUGAUUAAGGGGAAAAUGGCAUGUGAAGAUUUACUUCCAUCUCCUGCGAUCAAAGUCUCACCGCUGCCCCCGCCAUGGCCACAACCCCCUGUAGAUCAUGUGGCCCUCUCAGUGGACGGAGCAUUUUCAAAGGCCGACGGGUCGGCGGCCGCCGGUAUGGUCCUACGGAGACAUGAUGGGAGUGUUAUUUUCGCAGCAUACAGGUUCUUAUUUAACUGUAAUGAUGCGUUGGAGGCCGAGAUUCACGCUUUGAUGCAAGGUAUGGCACUAGUGAAACAACACUCUGAAGGACCGAUCAUUGUGCAGUCCGAUUCCUCGACAACAUUGGCUUCUCUCAAAGGCGAUAAUAUGGAUCGCUCUGCGUAUGGUCAUCUAGUUGCUGAGAUAAAGUUUUUGAUGAUUGAUAGGGAGUUUAUUUCCCAGAAAAUUUCUCGUGAACAAAAUAAGGUAGCAGAUCGUUUGGCUAGUUAUAGUCGAUAUGAAUGUACUACUGCUGUAUGGCUACACCGUGGUUCUCCAUUUAUUGAGGCACUACUGCCACUGGACUGUAACCAUAUCAUUAUGGAAUAA